AUGAGAGUCCAACAUACGUUAGACCCAGCUCACCAGACAAAAAGAAAGAAAGAACAACCUCUAAACUCAAGGGGUAGAAAGCGGACAAGGACUGCAGAGGGAAGAAGAAAUGCGAACACAGAGGCUCCUAAACGAUUGAGAAAGGCUAAUGCUGAAGAAGAUAGGGAAUUGAAGCGCGCCAGAAGCGAAACCAACAAAAACAACACUAGAGUCAAUGUUGGAGACAACAACAGAACCAAAACCUCGACAAGUGCUAAUAGCAAGCCAUGGAACUUCGGAAGGCCAACAUACAAAUGCCAAUAUUGCAAAGCAUUGCUAUGGUGUGAAGAAAGAUUAAAUUCAAACAAAGGAACUACGACACCCUCUUUUGGAAUAUGCUGCAAACAAGGGAAAAUCGAUCUGCCGCCACUAAGAGAACCUCCACCAUACCUUAGAAACCUCUUAAGAAGUGAAGGGCAGGAUUCGGUAAACUUCAAAGAAAAUAUAAGGUCAUACAACUCAAUGUUUUCAUUCACAUCGAUGGGAGGAGCUGUGGACAAGGAAAUAAACACUCGCAAAGGACCUUAUGUUUUUCAUUUGCAUGGACAAAACUACCACCAUAUCGGAACUCUUUUGCCUCAAGGUACAGACAAACCUCAGUUCGCACAACUAUACAUCUAUAAUACCGAAAUUGAGGUGGAAAACAGGAUAAGUGCGUCAAGAUGCAAUGAUAAUAAAUCAACAGUGAACCCCAACAUCGUCAAAGAACUGAAGAUAAUGCUCGACGACAACAAUAUCCUCGCAAAAACAUUCAGAAUGGCAAGAGACAGAUUCCAAGAAGGAGACUACCAUGAUUACACACUUCGGAUACUAGGCAAAAGGAACGGAACACACAACCUUCCAUCCGCAUCUAAAGUUGCAGCAUUGGUAGUAAGAGAUCCAACCGGAGAGAGUAAAGGACGUGACAUUGUUGUUGAGUACAAAAAUAUGGAGCCGCAAAGGAUAUCAGAGAUCCACCCAAAAUUCAUGUCCAUGCAAUAUCCGUUGUUGUUCCCAUAUGGAGAAGAUGGUUUUAAACUUGAGAUACCCUACAAGAAAACAAAAGGAGGUACAAACAGCAGGAAAUACGUAACAUUGUUGGACUACUAUGCAUUCUACCUACAGCAACGUCCUGAUCAAGGAAUGUUACUACUCAAGUCCGGGCAUUUGUCACUGCAAUUUUGGGUGGAUGUAUACACAUGUAUCGAGCAAAAUAGACUAAACUGGAUCCGACACAAUCAAGGAAAGCUACGAACUGAACUUUACAGUGGAUUACGGGAUGCAAUUGAGCGAGGGGACACAAGAACAGAGCAAGUUGGAAAGAGGAUAAUUGUGCCUUCAUCUUUUACAGGUGGUAGAAGAAACAAGGCACACUAUUUGCAAGAUGCCUUUGCAAUAUGUCGUUGGGAUGGAUACCCAGACCUAUUUAUAACAUUCACAUGCAAUGCAAAGUGGCCUGAGAUCCAAUACAUGCUAGAUGAAGCGGGAGGUGGCCAAAAGCCAGCCGAUCGGCCAGAUAUUGUGGACAGAGUAUUUAUGAUCAAACUAAAGGAGCUAAUGAGAGACAUAAAAGAAAAGAAAUACUUUGGAGAAACAGUUGCAAGUAAGUACCAUUGA
rnacentral:rRNA from 1 species